UACGAAGGGUGCAAGCGUUACUCGGAAUUACUGGGCGUAAAGCGUGCGUAGGUGGUGGUUUAAGUCUGCUGUGAAAGCCCUGGGCUCAACCUGGGAAUUGCAGUGGAUACUGGAUCACUAGAGUGUGGUAGAGGGAUGCGGAAUUUCUGGUGUAGCAGUGAAAUGCGUAGAGAACAGAAGGAACAUCCGUGGCGAAGGCGGGAUCCUGGGCCAACACUGACACUGAGGCACGAAAGCGUGGGGAGCAAACAGG
rnacentral:rRNA from 1 species